CAUGAUAAUUAAACAAGACAAAUAAUUAAUUAAAUUGUAUUUUGAUUAAGUAUUUAGGUUUAUUAGUUUUAAUUAUUUUAAUUAACUAGUGAAAAGUUAAUCUCAUUAUUUGAUUAAAUUAAUUAAAAUUUAAUUAUCCUAAUUAAAUAAUUAAAAAUCAAUCGUAAUUAAUUACUCAAAAUAAUAGUAACAAAAGAUAAUAAAUGAUAAUAGAAUAAAAUAGAAAAUUGAAUGGAUAAAAAGCAAAAUAGAUGGGGUGUGCUAAUUGAAAUAGGGCCAAGAGGAUCCAUAAAGGCCCAUGGGCGCUAGAUCCGCUGAAGGGGGGAAAGAGGGAGUCAACUCCAUUGAAUCAACCUCCCUCGUAUGAUCAGAAUACUAGGUCAGACUCACAUGAUCAAAGGGGUAAUGGUGAAAGUACACUAUGAAUACCCUAGGAGCACGUGUAGGGAACUACUAAGGGGAAAACAACCUGCAACCAAAAUAAUGCAUAAAUGGCUAGAAGGGGAGCCGUCAUCCAGGCCACACAUCCACCAAGGAGGGACGACUGAUGAUGGUUUUGAAGGAAUCUCAAAAGAGACUCCACCUCAUAAACCAAACACCCUCAGUCCAUAAACUCCUUUUCUCUCUUCUCUCUCUCUCUACACACACAAACCCAGAUAAACACAACUAAAAACAAAAACCAUAGAAAAACAAAAUCUUCCAAGGAGGCACCUCAAGAACAGGACGACAACGAUGGAGAACAUCGCAGAGGCGUCACCGUCCUCUUACCCAAAACUUCAAAAAAUUAAAACCCCACCUAAACAACCAAGGUUAAACAAGAAUCUACCAACCGUUUUCAAAAGUAACCAACCAAACUCAUAGAUCGGGGUUCACAUGACACAAAUCCUAACUUGUUCAAACAACACCAAAUCAACAAUAUCAAAUGGGAAAUCAGCCAUUCACACAAACAUCAUCAAAAAAAGGCAAAAAUGACGAGAAGUGUAACAAAAAACGACCUUGUCGAAGACUUAAAAUCCGGCGAGAAACUCUGGUGCAAGAAAUACCUCAGAUAAUAGAUGGCGCAUGAUUAUGGAUGUUGCAGUAAGGUGAAAAUGUUAACAUGUUGAAGGAAACUGUGUGGGCCAACUUGGAGUCCCUUUUUUUUUUCUCUCUUUUUUGUUGUUGUUUUAUACCAUGUAAAAAAUGUAAAAUCAAACUUCUUUGUGUAUUUGUACUUUUCAAAAGAUGAUGUAAUAUAUGUUUAUGAGAAAAUGUUCUUUUUUUGUGUUUUA